rnacentral:rRNA from 1 species
UUGGAGAGUUUGAUCCUGGCUCAGGAUGAACGCUGGCGGCGUGCCUAAUACAUGCAAGUCGAGCGAACAGAUAAGGAGCUUGCUCCUUUGACGUUAGCGGCGGACGGGUGAGUAACACGUGGGUAACCUACCUAUAAGACUGGGAUAACUUCGGGAAACCGGAGCUAAUACCGGAUAAUAUUUCGAACCGCAUGGUUCGAUAGUGAAAGAUGGUUUUGCUAUCACUUAUAGAUGGACCCGCGCCGUAUUAGCUAGUUGGUAAGGUAACGGCUUACCAAGGCGACGAUACGUAGCCGACCUGAGAGGGUGAUCGGCCACACUGGAACUGAGACACGGUCCAGACUCCUACGGGAGGCAGCAGUAGGGAAUCUUCCGCAAUGGGCGAAAGCCUGACGGAGCAACGCCGCGUGAGUGAUGAAGGUCUUCGGAUCGUAAAACUCUGUUAUUAGGGAAGAACAUACGUGUAAGUAACUGUGCACGUCUUGACGGUACCUAAUCAGAAAGCCACGGCUAACUACGUGCCAGCAGCCGCGGUAAUA